rnacentral:rRNA from 1 species
GUACAGGUACCGUAAUAAUGCUCCGAGCGGAGAGAUGGGAGCUUGCUCCCUUCCUGUUAGCGGCGGACGGGUGAGUAACACGUGGGUAACCUGCCUGUAAGACUGGGAUAACUCCGGGAAACCGGGGCUAAUACCGGAUGGUUGUCUGAACCGCAUGGUUCAGACAUAAAAGGUGGCUUCGGCUACCACUUACAGAUGGACCCGCGGCGCAUUAGCUAGUUGGUGAGGUAACGGCUCACCAAGGCGACGAUGCGUAGCCGACCUGAGAGGGUGAUCGGCCACACUGGGACUGAGACACGGCCCAGACUCCUACGGGAGGCAGCAGUAGGGAAUCUUCCGCAAUGGACGAAAGUCUGACGGAGCAACGCCGCGUGAGUGAUGAAGGUUUUCGGAUCGUAAAGCUCUGUUGUUAGGGAAGAACAAGUGCCGUUCAAAUAGGGCGGCACCUUGACGGUACCUAACCAGAAAGCCACGGCUAACUACGUGCCAGCAGCCGCGGUAAUACGUAGGUGGCAAGCGUUGUCCGGAAUUAUUGGGCGUAAAGGGCUCGCAGGCGGUUUCUUAAGUCUGAUGUGAAAAGCCCCCGGCUCAACCGGGGAGGGUCAUUGGAAACUGGGGAACUUGAGUGCAAAAGAGGAGAGUGGAAUUCCACGUGUACCGGUGAAAUGCGUAAAGAUGUGGAGGAACACCAGUGGCGAAGGCGACUCUCUGGUCUGUAACUGACCCUGAGGACGAAAGCGUGGGGAGCGAACAGGAUUAAAUACCUGGUAAUCCCCCCCGUAAACAAUGAGUGC